AGAGUUUGAUCCUGGCUCAGAAUCAACGCUGGCGGCGCGCUUAACACAUGCAAGUCGAACGGGAAAGUGGAGCAAUCCAUGAGUACAGUGGCGUACGGGUGAGUAACACGUGGGUAUCUAACUCUUAGUGGGGAAUAACCCUGGGAAACCGGGGCUAAUACCGCAUAAGCUCGAGAGAGGAAAGCAGCAAUGCGCUGAGAGAGGAGCCCGCGGCCGAUUAGCUAGUUGGCAGGGUAAGAGCCUACCAAGGCAGAGAUCGGUAGCCGGCCUGAGAGGGCACACGGCCACACUGGCACUGAAACACGGGCCAGACUCCUACGGGAGGCAGCAGUGGGGAAUCUUGCACAAUGGGGGCAACCCUGAUGCAGCGACGCCGCGUGAGCGAUGAAGCCCUUCGGGGUGUAAAGCUCUUUCGUCAGGGAAGAUUAUGACGGUACCUGGAGAAGCAGCUGCGGCUAACUACGUGCCAGCAGCCGCGGUAAUACGUAGGCAGCGAGCGUUGUUCGGAGUUACUGGGCGUAAAGGGUGUGUAGGCGGUUCUUUAAGUUUGGCGUGAAAUCUCCCGGCUCAACCGGGAGGGUGCGUCGAAUACUGAGGGACUAGAGUACGGGAGAGGAAAGUGGAAUUCCUGGUGUAGCGGUGAAAUGCGUAGAUAUCAGGAGGAACACCGGUGGUGUAGACGGCUUUCUGGACCGUAACUGACGCUGAGACACGAAAGCGUGGGUAGCAAACAGGAUUAGAUACCCUGGUAGUCCACGCCCUAAACGAUGCAUAUUUGGUGUGGGUCAUUCAGUUUGAUCCGUGCCGGGAGCCAACGCGUUAAAUAUGCCGCCUGGGGAGUACAGUCGCAAGGCUGAAACUCAAAGGAAUUGACGG
rnacentral:rRNA from 1 species